rnacentral:rRNA from 1 species
UGCUCCCUGAUGUUAGCGGCGGACGGGUGAGUAACACGUGGGUAACCUGCCUGUAAGACUGGGAUAACUCCGGGAAACCGGGGCUAAUACCGGAUGCUUGAUUGAACCGCAUGGUUCAAUUAUAAAAGGUGGCUUUUAGCUACCACUUACAGAUGGACCCGCGGCGCAUUAGCUAGUUGGUGAGGUAACGGCUCACCAAGGCAACGAUGCGUAGCCGACCUGAGAGGGUGAUCGGCCACACUGGGACUGAGACACGGCCCAGACUCCUACGGG